UACGGGGGGAGCAAGCGUUGGUCGGAUUUACUGGGCGUAAAGGGCGCGUAGGCGGCGCAACAAGUCACUUGUGAAAUCUCCGGGCUCAACCCUGGGAUGCCGGUGGAUACUGUCGGGCUAGAGUGCGGAAGAGGCGAGUGGAAUUCCCGGUGUAGCGGUGAAAUGCGCAGAUAUCGGGAGGAACACCAAUUGCGAAGGCAGCUCGCUGGGACGUUACUGACGCUGAGACGCGAAAGCGUGGGGAGCAAACAGG
rnacentral:rRNA from 1 species